CCUACGGGAGGCAGCAGUCGAGAAUUAUUCACAAUGGGGGAAACCCUGAUGGUGCGACGCCGCGUUGGGGAAUGAAGGUCUUCGGAUUUUAAACCCCUGUCAUGUGGGAGCAAAUUAAAAAGAUAGUACCACAAGAGGAAGAGACGGCUAACUCUGUGCCAGCAGCCGCGGUAAUACAGAGGUCUCAAGCGUUGUUCGGAAUCACUGGGCGUAAAGCGUGCGUAGGCUGUUUCGUAAGUCAUGUGUGAAAGGCGCGGGCUCAACCCGCGGACGGCACAUGAUACUGCGAGACUAGAGUAAUGGAGGGGGAACCGGAAGUCUCGGUGUAGCAGUGAAAUGCGUAGAUAUCGAGAGGAACACUCGUGGCGAAGGCGGGUUCCUGGACAUUAACUGACGCUGAGGCACGAAGGCCAGGGGAGCGAAAGGGAUUAGAUACCCGGGUAGUC
rnacentral:rRNA from 1 species